rnacentral:rRNA from 1 species
CUGGUUGAUCCUGCCAGUAGUCAUAUGCUUGUCUCAAAGAUUAAGCCAUGCAUGUCUCAGUAUAAGCUUCUUUACGGUGAAACUGCAAGUGGCUCAUUAAAACUUUUAUAAUUUCUUUGGUGGUCACUCACUACGUGGAUAACUGUAAUAUUUCUAGAUCUAAUACGUGCACAAAAACCGGAUUUCUUUGAAGAACGGUUGCUAUUAUUAUAUAAAAAACCAUCCUGCCCCCCGGUCAUAUCUCGUGGUGAUUCAUAAUAGUGGAGCAAAUCCUCACAAGAAUAUGUACCAUUCAUAUUUCUGACCUAUCCUCUCUAUAUGGAAAGAUAGAGGCUUACCGUGGCAGUGACGGGUAACGGGGAAUUAGGGUUCCACUCCGGAGAGGGAGCCUGAAAAACGGCUACCACAUCUAGAGAGGGCAGCGCGCGCGCAUAUUACCCAAUCCUGACACGGGGAGGUAGUGACAAGAAAUAACAAUACGGGGCAUCCGUGUCGUGUAAUUGGAAUGAAUAAAAUUUAAAUCCCUUUAAGAAUAUCGAGUGGAGGGCAAGUCUGGU